GACGAACGCUGGCGGCGUGCUUAACACAUGCAAGUCGAACGUGAUUUUUGUAGAAAUUCCUUCGGGAAUGGAAAUGAAAUGAAAGUGGCGAACGGGUGAGUAACACGUGAGCAACCUACCUUACACAGGGGGAUAGCCGUUGGAAACGACGAUUAAUACCGCAUGAGACCACAGAAUCGCAUGAUAUAGGGGUCAAAGAUUUAUCGGUGUAAGAAGGGCUCGCGUCUGAUUAGCUAGUUGGAAGGGUAAAGGCCUACCAAGGCGACGAUCAGUAGCCGGUCUGAGAGGAUGAACGGCCACAUUGGAACUGAGACACGGUCCAAACUCCUACGGGAGGCAGCAGUGGGGAAUAUUGCACAAUGGGGGGAACCCUGAUGCAGCGACGCCGCGUGAGCGAAGAAGGUUUUCGAAUCGUAAAGCUCUGUCCUAUGAGAAGAUAAUGACGGUAUCAUAGGAGGAAGCCCCGGCUAAAUACGUGCCAGCAGCCGCGGUAAUACGUAUGGGGCGAGCGUUGUCCGGAAUUAUUGGGCGUAAAGGGUACGUAGGCGGUUUUUUAAGUCAGGUGUGAAAGCGUGAGGCUUAACCUCAUUAAGCACUUGAAACUGGAAGACUUGAGUGAAGGAGAGGAAAGUGGAAUUCCUAGUGUAGCGGUGAAAUGCGUAGGUAUUAGGAGGAAUACCGGUGGCGAAGGCGACUUUCUGGACUUUUACUGACGCUCAGGUACGAAAGCGUGGGGAGCAAACAGG
rnacentral:rRNA from 1 species